rnacentral:rRNA from 1 species
GACGAACGCUGGCGGCGUGCUUAACACAUGCAAGUCGAACGGAAAGGCCCUGCUUUUGUGGGGUGCUCGAGUGGCGAACGGGUGAGUAACACGUGAGUAACCUGCCCUUGACUUUGGGAUAACUUCAGGAAACUGGGGCUAAUACCGGAUAGGAGCUCCUGCUGCAUGGUGGGGGUUGGAAAGUUUCGGCGGCUGGGGAUGGACUCGCGGCUUAUCAGCUUGUUGGUGGGGUAGUGGCUUACCAAGGCUUUGACGGGUAGCCGGCCUGAGAGGGUGACCGGACACAUUGGGACUGAGAUACGGCCCAGACUCCUACGGGGGGCAGCAGUGGGGAAUAUUGCACAAUGGGCGGAAGCCUGAUGCAGCAACGCCGCGUGCGGGAUGACGGCCUUCGGGUUGUAAUCCGCUUUCGCCUGUGACGAAGCGUGAGUGACGGUAAUGGGUAAAGAAGCACCGGCUAACUACGUG